rnacentral:rRNA from 1 species
UACUAAGGGGGCUAGCGUUGCUCGGAAUCACUGGGCGUAAAGCGCACGUAGGCGGUUUUCUAAGUCAGGGGUGAAAUCCUGGAGCUCAACUCCAGAACUGCCUUUGAUACUGGAGAGCUUGAGUCCGGAAGAGGUGAGUGGAACUCCGAGUGUAGAGGUGAAAUUCGUAGAUAUUCGGAAGAACACCAGUGGCGAAGGCGGCUCACUGGUCCGGUACUGACGCUGAUGUGCGAAAGCGUGGGGAGCAAACAGG